CUCCCGCGCCUACCGAGCUGACACACACUUGGUUUGUACAGACUGGCUCAGUUCAGCAGGAACAGGAA
rnacentral:pre_miRNA from 12 species